AUUGAACGCUGGCGGCAGGCCUAACACAUGCAAGUCGAGCGGAUGAAGGGAGCUUGCUCCUGGAUUCAGCGGCGGACGAGUGAGUAAUGCCUAGGAAUCUGCCUGGUAGUGGGGGAUAACGUCCGGAAACGGGCGCUAAUACCGCAUACGUCCUGAGGGAGAAAGUGGGGGAUCUUCGGACCUCACGCUAUCAGAUGAGCUUAGGUCGGAUUAGCUAGUUUGUGGGGUAAAGGCCUACCAAGGCGACGAUCCGUAACUGGUCUGAAAGGAUGAUCAGUCACACUGGAACUGAGCCACGGUCCAGACUCCUACGGGAGGCAGCAGUGGGGAAUAUUGGACAAUGGGCGAAAGCCUGCUCCAGCCAUGCCGCGUGUGUGAAGAAGGUCUUCGGAUUGUAAAGCACUUUAAGUUGGGAGGAAGGGCAGUAAGUUAAUACCUUGCUGUUUUGACGUUACCAACAGAAUAAGCACCGGCUAACUUCGUG
rnacentral:rRNA from 1 species